GACGCCCAGAAGAGUGGAGGAGAGAGGGGGGAAAAGGGAAGGGAGUGGUGGAGAGGAAAAGUGCAGUGUGGAGAGCGGUAGAAGAUGAAAGCAGUUGCUACUGAAACACUGUUAAAAUUGGCCACGAUUGAAGAUGGAGCGAGGAAAAAAUGGAGCGAGGAAAGUAGAGACUCGGUGAUAGAGUUGAAGAAACAGGAGUGCACAGAGGUUACUCGAAGAAGACGAGCUGCUACAGGGCAAGAAAACGCAGAGGAGAUGGGAGACAAACUUCAUAACUUGAAAGAACAAGAAAAUUGGUCACCUACGCCAUAAGAGGAAAGCUCUGAAACGUUGCUAGCAGUGUGUGGAAACAUCUGUGAGGUGAUGACAUCGGAAUCAACACUUUUGGAAGUUUUAGCAACAACAUGACAGAAGACUUUUAACAUCAAACAAAUAUCCCUUUAUAGGUCAAAUGGUGGCUGGGAUUGACCUGUCGAAGGAGUGGAACUGCAUGGGCAGCAUGGGGUGCGUCUUCAGGGCAGGGUCUGGGUGGUAGGGUGUCGGCCCAGAGUCCUGUCCCAGCUCUCCACCAUCGACGGGGGCCGCCACCAAGCUCUUCAGGAUCUCCUGGAUUUCAGAGAGAACAACAAAAUAUGAUGACGAUGGUGUAAGAGACAAGCUGGCGAAACUGAGAAGUAUCAGGAUGUUGUAACUUGUUUUCAGUCUGCACUUUAAUAUUUAUUAUGCUGCAAAAACAUCAGGUGAAAUUCAACAAAGAGAAAGCAGUAAACUAUAAAUAUACAAAACCUAAAUGAUAAUCGGUGGCUAGCACUGUUAUCUGGCAGCAGAAAGAUCCCCGGUUUACAUCCUGGCCUGGGCCUGGGAUCUUUCUGUGUGGAGGUUGCAUGUUCUCUCCGACUUCCUUCCACCAUCCAAACAUGUGCUGAGGUUAAUUAGUAAUUCUAAAUUGUCCAUAGGCGUGAAUGUGAGUGUGCUUGUUUGUCUCUAUGUGUAACCCUAUGAUAGACUGGUGACCUGUCCAGGGUGUCCCCUGCCUUCGCCCUAAGUCAGCAGGGAUAGGCUCCAGCCCCCCGACGACCCUAAUGAGGAGUAAGUGGUGUAUAGAUAAUGGAUCAAUAGCCUAAAUGCAAGGUACAUAUAUAGAAAAAAAUCCAUUCUGUCUAGGAUGCAUGUGACCCCCAAUAAUACAACAAUACAUGGUAAAAGCAAAUGCAUUUCCGAACUACAUUUAGCAAUAAGAGUGUAAAAAUAUAGAUAUUAAAACUGAAUCCAUAUCAGAUGAAGAAAGAAUUCACAAUCGGUCACCAGAGAGUGAAUUUAGACAAAUCCCCUCAGCCAGGUGUGAAUGGGGGAUUGUCAGAGACCCACCUUGACGUUGAUGCCUUUGUUUGUUUGACUGAUGCUGGAGAUGGACGAAGGCGGGGCUUGGCUGGAGUUGGGGGUGGAACUGGGGUUGUGGGGAGAGUCCAGCAGGCUCUCCUGUGAUCUCCGAACGUCGGACGACAGACUGCACAACAGAUCUGUGCCUCCUCCCCCGCCUCCCCCUCCGCCGAUGUCUCUGUCCCGGUCUCUGUCUGUCUCUCUCCCCACCAGGCCGAGCCCGAGGCCCAGACCCAUCUCCGAGCCGUUGAGGGAUCCGGCCACGUGACCCUCUUCUCCGAUGCCGGAGUCCGUGUGCGGGAGUCCGGCCCGGGGAGAGUCAUCCACAGGGGUGGGGGUCUGUUUGUCACGAUCAGAGAAAGCUGUGGACGGGUGCUCUGGAGACAGAAAUAAAGGAUGCAAUGUGAUUUUUAUUCUUUUCUAUGAUAAACAGUAAUAUAAUUGCACAAGGAGAAUUUCUUUGUGUAAAAUGCAUAGUCAAGAAAUUGCUUGUUUUUGAUGUUUCUUUGUUGUUUCUUCCUGCUUGCAAGCCUGUAAGCCUUUCUCUGCCAAGUAAUAUGCUUCUUUCUUCUUCCAUUUUCUUUUUUCUUAUAAUGGUUUUAUGUUCUUGACAAAGGCAUUGUUGUUUGCCAGAAGGCUGCAUUCACUACACCGACAUUACAACAAUGAGUCACCGCUGGCUAAUCCAAAAUUAUCCUCUAAUACUGAGGAUACUGCAACAAAAGAACAACAAGGAUCACCUGUACUGGUUGGAGAGUUGAUCUCGUGGCGGAUGCUUCUCCCUGAUAGGCUGGUAGACCUGCCGAUCUCUCGCUGGGGUUCCAAAAUGUCCCGGUACUUAGAUACCAUGAGAACUGAGAUAAAGUAAACGACUGCCAGCGCCAGAAACUGAGCCUGCUUACUGUCAUCCUACGGAAAAACAACACAAGCACACAAAAUUAUUCAGCAAAAAAAAAAAAAAAAACAACAUUCAGGUAUUUUUCUCUUAUAUUUAUCACCAGGCAAACACUGUGUACACCAAACCUACAUACACACACACUUACCACAUCCCUGAAAACCACGGCUCGAAGACGAUUAAUAUCUACAUCCUGCAGGAGUCUGUCUGGAUCCUGCUAAAUAUGGAAGACAGAAUGUCAGAAUGUGCUGCGUCUUACACAUGCAUGUUUCUGUGUCAGAUUUUGACUGUUGCCGGAUGUGCAUUUGAUUCAUGUGUCUGUGGUACCUUGCUGGCGGUGGAGGCACUGUGGAGGCUGUCCUGUGACUUGCUGCUGGUUAAAGAGGACUUGCAGCUCCGAUCUCUCUGUCUCUGCCUGCACUCCAGGCAGUUCCGAACUGCCACACAGCAAACUGGAGACAGGACAGGUGGAGAAGAAACAUGUAAGUAUCGUAUGAUGGCUGGGGCUUUUACAUUUCAUGGCACUUCAGUGACUUAUUGAUUGCUUUCUGCUUUGUGGUGUUUUCGAUGCAGAGCGCUGUGUAAAAGCAUUCUUUGAACAGUUUAAGGUUCUGCAUAAGGAAAAUAAAUCCCAUGUAGCAAUGAAGUUAACAAAUUCACACUUCUAAAUUAAUAUGUUACUCAUCUUGUCAGUAAUUUGACUAUUUGUUCACUGUAACAUCACAAAAUGUCUCCAAAUAUUCAACUUAAUUAUAAGAACAUAAAAAAACACAAAAAGACCAAAUAUGUGAUAUUUUUGGAGAAAAUGACUUGCAUAAUCAAUUAUUAUUAAAAUGGCAAACUGAUUAGUCAUCUUUGUUGCAGGUAUUAUCACAUAUUACUCAUACAUCACUGCAUAAUCAAAACAUUGCUGUAAAUUGGCAAUGUGGACAGUGUUACCCUACAUCUUGUCCCCUCACAGCUCGGAAUAGAAAAAGAUGAUACAGAAAAAGAAAAAUUUAAAUGAAUACUUUAACUCAGAGGUGAAAAGUUACAAAAACAGAAAUCUCCAGUGACUAUAAGCCUAUCUGUAGCAAUGUAAAUCUAUUUUUGGUCAGACCUAAACACUCAUUUUUAAUUGGGAAAAUGAUUGCCAAAAGUUGACAUGUUUUGUUUUAUACUUCAAAAAUUCAACCUCUCUGUUGUCAGCUAGUAAAGCAAAAUGACAAAUUGGUGCUUCUUUAUUAGAUCUACAGUUAUGUGAUGUAAAAAAAAAGGCAAUCUAAACUUUUAACCCCUGUGGGGAAACUGUAAUAGGCACUUGUACUACGUUCUUCUAGGAUAAUAUUAUUAAUCAGAAAAAAUAAUCAACAAAUUCAUUGCUAAUAAAAAUACCUGCUAUCUGCAGCCGUUCUCAACAAGACCAAGGAGCUGUGAGUCACUUCAAUCCCACAGUGAACCGUUUUAUAAAUUCUGGUUAAUACUGAACACAUGAAACUAGCACACACCCAGGCGGAGACACUGCCUCAUCAGCCCUCCUGAUGACAUGUUCUUUUCUGCCUCGAUCUCACUGAAGUUGAGGGAGCUGGCAAACACCAGGACGUCUACCAUGGCCAUGAGACGAGAAAGGAAAGUGACCGCUGUCUCUGAGGACAUGCCCUGUGUUGCCUCAAUGUUCUCCAACUCCGUCUGAGAAAGGGAGGAAAAAUAGACACAGAGCUCGCCAGUUAAUCAGUGAAAAACUAGGAUGUAAACACAGUGAGCUGGAUGAUCUCUCACUGGUUGUCGAAAGAUGGUAAAAUCCUUUAGUAUCCUAUUUUUUAAAAAACAACAGAAGUAGGCCUUUAGGAAAUGUAUGCAGCUGGGUCUUACAUGAGCAGAACCGCAACAGUCAUGGCUGGUUGUACCAACAAACAGGAAAAGCAACCUGGAGUAUCAUGCUGGUUCAGUGAAAAACAGACUUUUAUGAUGAAAUCUGGCAACAUGAGGUGUUCUACACAACACACAGGAAGUACAGCCUGAUGACACACAGAUAAUGGUUACAGUGGGAUUGUGACAGUAGCAGUGUGGCUGAUUAGCAGUAACAGUAGAAGUGUAGGGACAUGUAAAGCUAGCCUUGAAUUGAUCAUGACACAAUCAAACCAAGUCCCCUUUAAUUACCAAAUUCGACACUGAAAAGAAAUCGGAUGGCAGCAUAGCAGGGGUUAAAACCAAGUGUGUGAUUUGCUGUGUCUCUGCUUCAGUAAGCAGGAUGUGCAGGGCUGUGGAGAGCCGACAAAGUGCAAGCAUCUGGAGGCUCAUCGGGAGCAAGUGAGCACAGACAUUUGGGAAAUAACAGACACACAAGAGGGGUGCAGUGGAGCCACUUACAGAAGGGGAGGUGGCAGCAGACAGGAGAGGCAGAAUGCCUCCACAGGCGAUGAUGAUGUUGUCCACCAUCUGAGAAAUGAGGUGGAUCGUGUUGUGGACGAAGAUG